AGCCAGCUGAUCGCUGGUCUAGCAUUCAGAGUUGGAGCGGAGGGCAGAGAGAAACCGAGAGAGGCAGAGGGAGAAGAGAAGAGGCUACUGAUGCUACAUUAAUCUGUAAUCUGACAGAGAGUCAGAAACCAACAGCGUCAUCACAGAACUGUCUCAGCCUCUGUCACAGUUUGUUCCGGAAAUCAACAAUGUAAAAGAGCAGGCUGGGAAACUAGAGCACGAGGAGGAAGUGAAGAGAGAAGAGAGAAACGAGAGAUGCCAUAAAACCAACAUCCUCUCAAAGAGAAAGAACACACACAACAGCUCAAAGAGAGAGCGAGACAGAAGGAGAAGAGAGAGAGGUAAACAUACUCUGUGGUGAGUCACUCCUCCUCCCCCUCUCCUUUCCUUUCUGCUCCUCUCCUCUCCUCUGGUGUGUUGAUGCUGAUGCACAGAGGAGCAGCAGAACUAAAAAAAUAGUCCGAUCCAGAACACUAGCGGAAGAAGAGAACUGGACUCUGUGUGGGAGUAGCAGAACCGACAAUGGAACUGUAGAACCAUCAGGUACCAGAACUAGAACCAGGAGUAUCAUCAGAGCCAGAGCGGUGGAACCGGACCCAAAGGAUUGUGUACUGUAUAAAGGAGUGGUAGUGGACCUGGUGUGUCUCAAUAAAGAUGUCCUGGGGGUCUCUGCUGUCUCCGGUCCAAUGGGCCAAAUGGACCUGGUCAGCUGUACGGGGAGGAGGGGAGGAGGAGGGGGAGGACGGAGCGCCCAGAACCAAGGAUGAAGGGGGAAAUUCAGAUUCAGAAGGAAACUUUGAGACUCCAGUGGCGGAGUCUCCAGGUCUGCAGAAUGACCUGACCCAGCUGGAUAACUCUGCUGACAAAGCCCUCACCAGAGAUGACGGACAGCUGACGCCCUGUGCCUUCCUGGACAGGAACUCCAAUCAGGAUGUUUAUCCCGCCUCCCUCCAGGAAGUCCAGGAUGCCCUGAACAACCUCAAUAGCCCCUCCCCCUCCCAGAGCAGAGCAGGUUUGGACCAGAACCUGAACCUGAUGUUUACCUUCAGACCUGGAGAAGAUGGUCUCUCCCCGUCCCCUCUGCCUCAGCCCCUCGCCCUACAUCCCCCCUCGCUCCCCGUCCACAACCCCCCCGUCCCCGCUGAGCUUGAUGAUCUCGCUCCUAUGACCUCUGACUCCAAUGGCAACAUCAACUCUCACCCCAACAGCCUGACUCCUGAAAUGGACAGACCAGAGGACUCAGACAGACAGUCACCUAGGAAGAGCACAGGCAUCACGAACUCCUGUAAAGUGAAGAAGCUGGACAACCAGACUCCAUUACAGAACACCUGCGGACAGGAGGAUGACCACGGCGAGGGCCACGCCACAGAUGAGGAGAAGCUAGCCAGCACAGCAGGAGUCAGAGCAGACAGAGAUCACAACGGGACAGAACUGAGUGUGUCAUGCAGAUCAGAGGAGUCAGACUGCUGUUCUAUGUAUGAGGACACCUGCCAGCUGAAGAACGCCAAGCUGGGAGGAAGUGACAUGCAGAAGAAGACAGGAAGUGAGGUUCUAGACUCGAUUUGCAUCAGCGAGGCAGAGAAGACGGCUGUUCUCACUCUCAUCAGAGGGGAGAUCAUCACUAAGGAGAUGGAGACCAAUGACUGGAGGAGGAAGUAUGAGGACAGCAGACAGGAAGUCAUGGAGAUGAGAAAGAUAGUGGCAGAGUAUGAGAAGACCAUCGCCCAGAUGAUUGAGGACGAACAGCGCAACACCAUGAGCUCCCAGAAGUCUUUGCAGGCAGUAAGCAUGGAGAAGGAGUCGGCGCUAACAGACCUGAACUCAGUAGAGCGUUCGCUGUCCGGUAUGUUCCGCCGCUACGAGAACAUGAAGAGCACCCUGGACGGCUUUAAGAAGAAUGAGGAGGUGUUGAAGAAGUGUGCUCAGGAGUAUCUGGCCAGAGUCAAGCAGGAGGAGCAGAGAUACCAGACCCUCAAACUCCACGCCGAGGAGAAACUAGACAAGGCUAAUGAGGACAUAGCCCAGGUACGCAGCAAGGCCAGCUCCGAGAGUGUUGCUCUGACCGCCAGCCUGAGGAAGGAGCAGAUGAGGGUAGAGUCUCUGGAGAAAGCUCUGCAGCAAAAGCUACACAGGUUGGGUCUGACAUCACAGCUACACAGGUUGGGUCUGACAUCACAGCUACACAGGUUGGGUCUGACAUCACAGCUACACAGGUUGGAUCUGAUAUCACAGCUACACAGGUCACGCACUGAAGUGUCACUCAUGCGUAGCGUCCAAUGAGGGUGAUUGUAUCAAACAAGGCUCCACCACCUGCCCUCAAUUCGCCGACGCCUGCUCCACCAUCACAGGACAGAACACGGUGAUGAAGUCAUGCUCCUACAAGGCGUUCUGUGAUCAGGCCCGCAAUAGCAACUCUGGAGCCAAGAUGGAGUGUUGUUUCUCGGAUGACUGCAACGGGCCCCAUAAGGGCCACCGCCACGGGGAGCACAAUAACACAGCUAGUGGUCUGGGAGCCAGCCCUGCUAUUCUACUUGGGGCUCUGAUGCUCCGCAUGGCCCUCAGCAGGCUCUAAACUCCUGAUUAUAUAUACACACACACACAACCCUCUACUAUUUAAAACCAUUUAUCGAUUCAUCCCCUCCCUUCAGCUGUGUCAGCAGAAUGCUGGUGAGCCAUGGUUUGGUGAAUCAUAUGGGGUUACGGGGUUUAGUAGAGAAUGUGUGUGUGUUGCCUGUGGUGGUGGUGGGGGGGGGGGAAAUCAUAAAAGCACAACCAAGUUUAAAGACAGAUGGAACUGAUGUAUCAUACCAUAUGACUCUAUAAUGCAGCUGUGUGUCUGUAACCAGUUAUAUGUAAAAAAUGAGUUGUUUGAUUUGUUCAGCGAUGGACUGGAGCUCCUGUAGUGUCAGUAGACUCUGGGUGCAUGCAUCCAGGCUGGUUUACAACUAUACAUGUACAGUGAGCUCCAAAAGUAUUGGGACAGUGACACAUUUUUUGUUGUUUUGGCUCUGUACGCCAGCACUUUGAAUUUGUCAGGUGAACCGUUCAGAAAUUAAAGCACUUUUUGUACAUAUUUCCCCCAAAUUCUCUUAUGUGUAUUAAAGUAGUCAAAGGUUUAGUGUUUGGUCUCAUAUUUCUAGCACACAAAGAUUACAUGGCGGGCGGCAGGUAGCCUAGUGGUUAGACCGUUGGGCCAGUAAGCAAAAGGUUGCUAGAUUGAAUCCCUGAGUUGACAAUGUAAAAAUCGUCAUUCUGCCCCUGAACAAGGCAGUUAACCCACUGUUCCUAAGCCGUCAUUGUAAAUAAGACUUUGUUCUUAACUGACUUGCCUAGUUAAAUAAAGGUACACUUUUUUAAAUUACAUCAAGCUUGAGACUCUACACACUUGUUGGAUGCGUUUGUUUGUUCUGAUUGUGUUUCAGAUCAUUUUUUGCCCAAUAGAAAUGAAUGGUAAAUAAUGUAUUGUCAUUUUGGAGUCACUUUUAUUGUAAAUAAUUAUAAAAUACGU